rnacentral:rRNA from 1 species
ACUCCUACGGGAGGCAGCAGUGGGGAAUAUUGCACAAUGGGGGAAACCCUGAUGCAGCCAUGCCGCGUGUGUGAAGAAGGCCUUCGGGUUGUAAAGCACUUUCAGUAGGGAGGAAGGUAGUGUAGUUAACACCUGCAUUAUUUGACGUUACCUACAGAAGAAGCACCGGCUAACUCCGUGCCAGCAGCCGCGGUAAGUACGGAGGGUGCGAGCGUUAAUCGGAAUUACUGGGCGUAAAGCGCAUGCAGGCGGCCUGUUAAGUCAGAUGUGAAAGCCCGGGGCUUAACCGUCGGAAUUGCAUUUGAAACUGGCAGGCUAGAGUCUUGUAGAGGGGUUAGAAUUUCGAGGUGUAGCGGUGAAAUGCGUAGAGAUCUGAAGGAAUACCAGUGCGAAGCGGCCCCUGGACAAAGACUGACGCUCAGAUGCGAAAGCGUGGGAGCAAACAGGAUUAGAUACCCCGUGGUAGACUGUCA